GUGUUGGCUUGUUGGCAGUCCUCCUGCAGGCAGAAUUGUCUGGCUCCUGACUGCUGCAGACGUUUGCAAGGGCAGGAGGGGACCACCUGUGCCAACGCUGUAGCUAGGAGCCGAACCACUGCAACACUGUGGCUCUAGAACCCAACCCAGAGAGACUAUCCAGAAGGAUACCAUGUGCUGAGAAGUGCAAAAGAACCAACAGAAGCACACUCUCCGUGACUCGCUCUUGGAAUAGGUCAUCCAUCAGAUCAACAAAGGAACUUUCCAUUCCAAAGCCAGACCCAAAGCCCCACAUAAAUGAUGCAGAUCCUAGAUUCUUUCCAAAAUCUACAUCACCAGCACACCAUCCGGAGUUUCCAGGAAUUGAUCCACUGGUUCAGAAGACACACAGGGAUAUUUGUACAUCAGAAUUCUUACUUUUGUGGUUGGCCCUCCAAAACAAAUAACCUCUGGUGGCCUCGUUUGAGUUGUGUGUGUGUGUGUGUGUGUGUGUGUGUGUGUGUGAGAGAGAGAG